rnacentral:tRNA from 1 species
UGGGGUGUCGCUCAGUGGUAGAGCACUUGCCUAGUGUGUGUGAGGGCCUGGGUUUCAUCCUCAGCAUCACAA